rnacentral:rRNA from 1 species
GGCCUUCGGGUUGUAAACCUCUUUCAGUAGGGAAGAAGCGAAAGUGACGGUACCUGCAGAAGAAGCGCCGGCUAACUACGUGCCAGCAGCCGCGGUAAUACGUAGGGCGCAAGCGUUAUCCGGAAUUAUUGGGCGUAAAGAGCUCGUAGGCGGUUUGUCGCGUCUGCCGUGAAAGUCCGGGGCUCAACUCCGGAUCUGCGGUGGGUACGGGCAGACUAGAGUGAUGUAGGGGAGACUGGAAUUCCUGGUGUAGCGGUGAAAUGCGCAGAUAUCAGGAGGAACACCGAUGGCGAAGGCAGGUCUCUGGGCAUUAACUGACGCUGAGGAGCGAAAGCAUGGGGAGCGAACAGGAUUAGAUACCCUGGUAGUCCAUGCCGUAAACGUUGGGCACUAGGUGUGGGGGACAUUCCACGUUUUCCGCGCCGUAGCUAACGCAUUAAGUGCCCCGCCUGGGGAGUACGGCCGCAAGGCUAAAACUCAAAGGAAUUGACGGGGGCCCGCACAAGCGGCGGAGCAUGCGGAUUAAUUCGAUGCAACGCGAAGAACCUUACCAAGGCUUGACAUGGACCGGACCGCCGCAGAGAUGUGGUUUCCCCUUUGGGGCUGGUUCACAGGUGGUGCAUGGUUGUCGUCAGCUCGUGUCGUGAGAUGUUGGGUUAAGUCCCGCAACGAGCGCAACCCUCGUUCUAUGUUGCCAGCACGU